rnacentral:rRNA from 1 species
UACGUAGGUGGCAAGCGAUACUCGGAAUCACUAGGCGUAAAGUGCAGGUAGGCGGCUUGAUAAGUCUUUUGUGAAAGCUCCUGGCUUAACUGGGAGAGGUCAAAGGAAACUGUCAGGCUAGAGUUUGGUAGGGGAUACUGGAAUUCCUGGUGUAGCGGUGAAAUGCGUAGAUAUCAGGAGGAAUACCUAUGGCGAAAGCAGGUAUCUGGGCCACAACUGACGCUGAGCUGCGAAAGCUAGGGGAGCAAACAGG